GACGUAGGGCGCGAGCGUUGUCCGGAUUUAUUGGGCGUAAAGAGCUCGUAGGCGGCUUGUCGCGUCGACUGUGAAAACCCGCGGCUCAACCGCGGGCUUGCAGUCGAUACGGGCAGGCUAGAGUUUGGUAGGGGAGACUGGAAUUCCUGGUGUAGCGGUGAAAUGCGCAGAUAUCAGGAGGAACACCGGUGGCGAAGGCGGUUCUCUGGGCAUUACCUGACGCUGAGGAGCGAAAGUGUGGGGAGCGAACAGG
rnacentral:rRNA from 1 species